rnacentral:rRNA from 1 species
UACAGAGGGUGCAAGCGUUGUUCGGAAUUAUUGGGCGUAAAGCGCGUGUAGGCGGCUUUGCAAGUCAGAUGUGAAAGCCCUCGGCUUAACCGAGGAAGUGCGUCUGAAACUGCAGAGCUUGAGUGUCGGAGAGGAUGGCGGAAUUCCGCGAGUAGAGGUGAAAUUCGUAGAUAUGCGGAGGAACACCGGUGGCGAAGGCGGCCAUCUGGACGACGACUGACGCUGAGACGCGAAAGCGUGGGGGAGCAAACAGGAUUAGAUACCCUGGUUGUCCACGCUGUAAACGAUGAGAACUAGGUGUCGUGGGUGUUGACCCCCGCGGUGCCGCAGCUAACGCAUUAAGUUCUCCGCCUGGGAAGUACGGCCGCAAGGCUAAAACUC